rfam:Rattus norvegicus chromosome 2, whole genome shotgun sequence.
GGGGAUUUAGUUCAGUGGUAGAGCGCUUGCCUAGCAAGCGCAAGGCCCUGGGUUCGGUUCCCAGCUCCG